UAUAAGCUGCGUUGUACGUAAUGAUAAUUAAGUUUUAACCUUUAAGCUGUAAUAGGGAGUUUUAUAUUAAAACAGGAAUGUUAAGCCUAGUCACUGACCUGGACAACAGGAAUGUUUUUGCAAACACCCACUUUGAGGAGUGGUGGUUUAAAACUUUCUUACUUGAACUACGGCAAUUGCGGCUUUUUA
rnacentral:other from 1 species